CCUUAGUCCUUAACAUAUUCUCCUAGCAACUUUUUUGUUAUGCUUUUUCUUUUUGGGGUACUCUACUAGUGAAUUAAGCGAUUAAACACAACAACAAAGAGAAUGAAACAAAAAAAAUGCAAACUAGCAAUUUCAUCGAUGCAAAACGAAGGGUAUUAGCUCUUUUAAGCAAGAAAUAUGCAACUAUCAAUUUAACUACGAUUCCGCUCUUUUGUGUUGAGAAAAACUGAACUUCACAUAAUUAAACAAAAUUAAACUGAACGGAAUUAAACUGAACUAAAUUGAAAUUAAUUGAAUUGAGUUGAACUGAAAUUAACUGAACUGAACUCAAAUAAACAGAAAAUAAGUCCAAAAGAAUAGAGCUAGACCUAUGAAGUUGAUCAAGAAAAAAAAUUGUGAACUUUGAUAGGGAAAUAAUGUAGAUUUUCCUCCUUGUUUCAUUUUGACUUUACUCUAACCAUAUAAUGAUAUAUACAACUGUUAUUAUGUGAGAAAUUUUGGACGUUACUAAUGAUUUUUACUACUCAUUAGUCAAGGUUGUGUAUUGAUAAAUUUAAAAGCUAGAAUAGAAUAACAGGAUAGCAAAACUAAAACCAACAAAAUCAAUUAAAUAACAAUUUUCUAUUUACUUGAAAUUUUAAGGAAAUGAAUUGAUUCGUGCGGAUUAAAAUUGUUCUCAUGACUAAACCUUUUAAUUUUGAUGGAGCAAACAACUAUCUAGUCCACCCGAAAAAUAUUUAUAAUAAGAAAAAUUAAACGGAAUGCAGAGUCUGCAACGGCACCUCUUUGCAGCCUGCAGGCGUGCUGGUUUACUGGCCACUGCUCUACGCUUCGGGUAUUCUUGUCACAAUCUCGAAAAAGUCUUAAUUACAACUCUAACAUAUGAUACUAAAAAUAAGCAUUUUUUACUCGAGGAUCAUUUUCUAGUAUAGAGUCAAGCCUUUGUAGUAUCAAUAAGACCUUGUUUGGUUAUAUAUAUUAAGUCAUACUUUUUAGGAAGUUAUUUUUUUCAUGUAUUUGAAAUUCCUAGCAAGUGUAAAAUUGUGUUUGGUUGAUAAUGGGAAGUUGAAUUUCCUAUGGGAAGCUCUACUUACCUAGGGGGACCUAGCCCACCUAGGUAAGUAACUUCCUCCAUUUUGGAGGAAGUAGAACUUCCUAGGAAGUGCAAAUUCCCAUAAUUUUGCCAACCAAACAACUCCAUAUACUUCUACUUCCUAGGAAUUUGCACUUCCCAUGAUUUGUUUUGUCAACCAAACAAGGUCUAAUUCUUUAAUACUUAUUUCAAAGUUAUGAGGAACAGCAUGUUGUCUAUUAAAAAAUUGUUGUCUAAUACUCCUACACCCUAGAAUUUGGAAUCGGAUCAGAGUUGAGAUUGAGAAGGCUGUACUUUUCUGACAAAGUUAACAAUAAUAUCUGGUGCAAGUGGCAGAUUUAUUUAAGGAUUUUUUGGUAAAAACACCCUUAUGUUUGGUGAUUUUUAGAACAAUCCCCCUUAUGUUUUUUCUUUUGAAAUGCACCCCAAACGUUUUAUAAAAAUUUUGGUUGCACCCCCAAAACCUAACGUCCGUCAAAUUCAGACGUUUGUGGGGCCCAUCUAAGCUAUUAUAACAACCACUUUAUCCCCAAAUCAGGACAUUCCCUCUCUCACAAUGGUAAUUUUCCAACACCCCCAAAUUGAAGCUGAUAAUCCAAAUUUUCGAACGGAAAAUUGCAAUUCCACUCUCAAUUGACAAUUCUUGACUUCCUUCAAAUCAAGGUUAUAGCAACCAAAUGCAACUGUCGAAUUCCUGCUAAGAUUUUGAGGUCAUGGAUGCAUGACAAUCCUGGGAGGAGUUUCUAUGCCUGCGAAUUCUCAGAUGUUCAUACUGGAAGAGAAGGGUGUGGAUUCUUUGGAUGAAUUGACAAGAACCAUGAGGAGUGGCAGAAGGUGGUCAUUAAUGAAUUGGUGCUGGAGAAGAGGUUGUUGACACAUGAAGUAACGUUUUAAAAGAGUGAAAUAGCAAGGAUUCAAGACACUAAGCCAAAGGUUGAAAAUUUCUGACUGAAGCAAGUGAGAGAGAUGAAUUCAAAGAAGAGGGAAUUGAAUGAGAGAGAUGAAGAGGUUAGUUGAAGGGUUCUAUUACCCAAGGAUACAAAUGUCAUUUCACGCAACAUUUAGGAGGAAAAAUGGAAAAAAGGGCCCCACAAACGUCUGAAUUUGACGGAAGUUAGGUUUUGGGGGUGCAACCAAAAUUUUUAUAAAACGUUUGGGGGUGCAUUUCAAAAGAAAAAACAUAAGGGGGAUUGUUCUAAAAAUCACCAAACAUAAGGGUGUUUUUACCAAAAAAUCCUUUAUUUAAUUACAAACUUUGACAUCAAAGCUAAAGAGAGGACUAUUAUGUGGAAACGGAAGUAUUGAUUACGGAUGAUCAAUAAACAAUUACACCCUUUGACGUCAAAGAUAAUGGUCGAAUAUUAUGUGGGGGAUUCAAGUACUGAUUAGGUAGACGAAGAUCAUUUUAACUAAAACCUUUUGGAACUUUGUGACGAUAAUUCCGGAUCUGAAAAACUAUUUUAGUUAAUAUUUUGAAGGAAAAAACAAGCUAGCAUUUAAACAAGGAGAAAGAGCAUGAGAUAGGGCGCCACCUCCAUGAGUACUAUUUUAGUUAACUUUAUUUUAGGAAGUUUUUUUAUAUUUUUGAUGAUAUUCAUCUUAUUUUAAACAAGAAAAAUUAAUAAUAGAACAAUUGAUUAAUAGUGUUCUUAAUGCGUAAUUUGCUAAAUUCUUGAAGUUCAUGUUGUUAUUUAUUCGCUUUUUAUGCUAUUAGAAUUGUUGGUGUUGACUAUACAUUUGAUAUAAGAUUAUGGUUAUUAUGUGGUUAUAUUGGCAAAAGAUAUGUAUAUAGAAGUGAGUUCAUAUUAGACCUGUUCAAUGGGUCGGGUCCCCUAAAAAAGACCCUUGACCCGACCCUUAUUACAGGGUUAUGACCCGACCCAAUUAAAAUAGGGUCGGGUCGUAUAGGGUCUGACCCUAAUAAGAUAUUGGUGGGUCGGGUCGGGUCAUAAAAGGGUCACUUGAAGUUUAGUUAGGGUCUAACCUAGACAUACUCAUUUUAUCUAAAAACACUAAUUUCUCUUUCUGCUAUCUUAUCUCUACUCUCUUCUCUCUCCUCUCUAAGAUAAAGGGCUCAAAAGGAGUAACACCCCUGUUUUGUUCUCCUUAGUUUUGAUGACCCAACAAGAAUCAGGGUCAGAAACUAGAAAGACGGAUUGUUUAGCGGUCGAGAUUAUGGGUUUCUUCAGAGUUGAAGAGUUUGAUUGGAGGAGAGAGAAAAUGAAUAGCAGGUUGUUUAGGAGGAACAGAGGAACGCCAAGAAGAACAAACAGAGCGUUAAUGGCAGGUUUCUGAAGAAGUGUUAGUGAGGUUGAAGAUGAGUUCUACGAGUUCUGAAGGAAGUUCAGACCAAUCUGCCGCCAUUGAUGGAAAUAUUGAAGGUUCGUUGAGGAUAAAAGAAUGAAGUUGGAGAGGAGAGAGAAGGUAUAGUAUGAUUGUAGGAAGGAAGUUAAAAGAUGGGAUAUUUGGGUGAGUAUUUAAGCAUAUAACUUUUGAUGUGUUCUCAUCAAAUAAAAAGAAAAAAGUUUGAUGUAAAUGAGUAAGCAUUUGAAGAGAAAUUUCAGUUGGAUUGAUAUUUGAUAAGUUUGACUUUCUUAAGCUAGUUGAUAAACUCUUUCAUAUGUCAUAUUUCGCAAGGACAAGAGAAAUCAAAGCUAGUUGUUUUUUCUAA